ensembl:lncRNA
GGAGCAUUAGGAAGGGCCCGUUCUGGGUACCUGGACACCUGAGUUCUGACUGAAGGUCUCCCAUCAAAAUACCCUGGAUUUUCUUUCUUCAUCCAUAAAUUUGGGGACAAGUGAGGGCUUUACAGGGGUAAAGCAAAACUUUAGGAUCCCUUGCUGGCCUGCAUCUGGAUUCUGAUUCUGCCGGUGACUAGCUGGUGAGCUUGGGGUGCCUGGGUAUCCGGCUGUUUCUGCCUGUUGCUCUCAUCUCGACCACAGAAACCCAAGGCCAUGAAGUCAGCAAAGCAGGAAAAACACGGAGAAUAAGGCAUCUUGACCGGGGGCAGAGGACCGAGGCGGCCAGAGCUGACAUCAUGGUCAGGAGACGCCUAGUCUCAGCAGAACCGCCAACUUCAUGCGGCAUCAGCCCGCAGCCUCAGGGCCCCAGCCCCUUUAUUUUAAUUUUUUGUUUGUUUUGGCUGCGCUAGAAGCACGUGGAAGUUCCCGGGCCAGGGAUCGAACCCGUGCCACAGCAGUGACCUGAACAUGGUGCUGUCAAUGCUGGAUUCUUAACUUGCUGAGCCACCAGGCAACUCCCCAGCCCCAUGAAUCCUCCUGUUUUCUCCCCAGAAAACAAGACGGUCGUUUUCGGGACGUUAGUCUGAUUCGCUCUUCAUUCGCUGACACAUUGGACACUUCGUUCCGUUUCCUCAAAACCCUGCCUCUUUAUUCUCAUCCAGCCUGGGGGACAGGUACCGAAUUUCCAGUAUCAAAACCACUUGUCUUCACCUGCAGGAACUACUUCCUUCUCUGAAAAUGUUAUCCUCAGUGAUUUCGAACGUUCUGGGAGUUGGAACCUAUCCCGCUGCCGUGAACUCCAGCGUGAAACCACACAUACGCAGCAAGAGCUGAAGUUUUGACAAACGGAGAGGUUCCUAUGAGUCAAAUAAAGUUAGUGAGAAUAGAAACUAACGAGUUGGUGGCCUUCAAAGUGUUGCAACUUGGAAUAACACGCUUUGAAUGUUUUUAGAUAAAAUGUUACAAGAUUUAAAUGGACAUAAAACCCACAGCUUCUGAGGUG